CCAAAGGGCUUUCUUCCCAGUAAACUGAACCACAUGUAGCUGCCUGAUAGCCCCUCUACCUGCAUCAGGUUUCAUUUCUGGAUGAUGCUUCAUAGCAGCUGAUGUCACAAAGAUGCGCCCAGAAGCCAGGAGAAGGCAUGCGGCAGAGCUCGGGAACCAUCCCCAUUGGAACAUCUCAAUGUUGUGAAGGCUUCCAGAUGAUGCCAAGAAUCCCGUUCACUUCUGGAGGGGGGAAGAGCCUGGAUUCCGAGCAACCGACCUCAAAAAUGCCUUUUGUGCAGCUCCUCCGUUUAUUUCUGUCCUAAAGAUUUUCCAGACACAUCCACAGAGAAACCACGGCAUCGUUUGGAUGGUUCGCUCAGCUCACUUCAAGAGCCAUGAAAUUUGCCAGCAGUAACCCGGUGGCAAUUACACCACAUUGCCAACCUCAGUUUUUUUCCACAUAACAUCAGAUUGUAACCAUUUUUCCAUUCUUUCAUGCCUUAACUUUUUUUUUCCUGGGUUGGGUCACGCUUCCCAUAAUGGGAUUUUCUCAAUUUGCUCCUUUUGCACAAAGGUUUCAAGUUUAUUUUAAGAAAAAGUGCCCUUCUGCAAACUCAGCACAUACCCCACCAGCUCCUGCCCGGCUAGCAAGGCAAAAAGCUUUGAUCCUACAGCAGAGCCAGGCUGCAGGAGGAGGAUCCAGCAGCCUCCCGAGUAAGCCAGGAGAGAGAAGGAGAAGCAGUGCACUGCUAGGGGGAAAAAGCAACUAAUGGGCAAUGCUGGAUGGCAAUAGAAACCUUUGGAUGACAGCAUUCUGCUUAGCUCGGUCAAAGAUUUGUACCUACAGUGGAUUUGCAAGCUCAGGAUGCUGCUAUGUGCUUUGCUGGUGCUCAGUGCCUUGCAGUGGAACAAGCCACUGGUCCAAGGAAAUCCCAGCUUGCAAAAGGCUUCAGCCCUCAACAGAACCAUCCAGAUAUUACACACUGGCUCCACACACAGCCUCCAAACUCUACUCAAGUCUCGGUCUUAGAUUUUCAGGUAAUUUACUGCUGAAGGAUGGGGCUCAGGAGGCUUCAAACUGAGGGUAAAGAGUGUUGGCAGCUCUGCAAGCACAAAGCAGCUCCCGACAAAAGGAACUCCGCAUGAGGGUGGGAGCUUUUCCUCAGGGCCAAAUCAGCCCUUGGACACAGCUGAGCUCCCAGCUAUGGCUGGAGCUGCACAGCUAUCACAACGCACUGCUGUGGAAAUGAGGCUUCCUGCUUCCUCCAGAAGGCACAGGACUGUGCUCCCAGGAAGGCUUUCCCUUCCAAAAAUCCCCUAAGGCCUUCUCAGAAAGCCAUCCUCCCAUCAGCAGGGAGUCAGAACCUCCCAGCAGCUCCAAAGCACCACUCCUGACAGCUCCAUGCAAGGGGUGCAGAGAUCACAACCCAAAACAAAUCCAAGCAGAGAUGAGAGCCAAAAGAGGCACCAAGCAGCCCAGUUCCAGAACACAACCAAGUGCAGAGAAACCGCCACAACUCAGCCCAGUUCUGCUAUUCUGAAGAAGCUGAAAGCCAACAGCAUCGGCAGACAGCACAGGGAAAGCAGCAGCCUUCCCAGCCACACUGCAGGAGCACACUCACGUGCGCACCCCUUCAUGGCAAUGCUGGCAUUGUUGGACAAAUACUGAGGAUAUUAAACCUGAUCCAAUGUCAGCAAACGGCUGAAAGGCCUCAGCAAUCAAAGUGUCUGCAGUCACCACCAGGCCUGUGUCAACAUAAGGGCUAUUCUGGAUGCAUGAAUAGAAACUUAUCCUGGACAGAAACACAACAGGCAAGCAGACGUGGGUGCACGUGUACAUAGGCUGAAGUGCCAAAUUUACACUUGUAACAGGGAAUUCCCCAUUCAUAGAGAGCAUUACUUCUGUAACGCAAUGGAAAGCACAUCAAUGACAGCAGAGCAGCAAGGUCCCAGGCUGCAGCAAGCGAGGAUUUGCACAAAUGCAGCAGUCAUAGGCACAGAAAUAAAGGAAAGAAGCUGCUUACCUUCAGAAGGCUUCAGGUAUGCAGGGAUCUCCAGCAAGAAGCCCUCACCUCCACUGCCAACCCUUAAAUGAGGUCUGGGCAGGGGUGGAUCCUGGCUCCAGCCCUUCUGGUCACUCAGAUACAUUGCAUACACCUGAGCUGCCCUGGGUUGGCCCUGCCUUCCACCAGGUGCUCAAUCACUGCUUCAGGCCCUGACUUCGCAUUUCUACUGCAACUUCAAAGUCAACUCACCCCGCAACAAAACACGAGCCCAAAAUGCAGCUGCUCUUCUCAAAUCAAACCUGGGCAUCCCUGCAUCCCAACUAUAGUGUAUGCAGAGCAUCCUAUCUGUAACGCAAGAGCGAGCCAACAACCAGCUGAGGAAUCAGGGCAUAAGACUCCCUAAAAGAAAGUAGGGAAAGAAACUGUCAAAUUCAAUGGCCUAUUUGCUUUCCUGCUGCGGAUAAGAAAAAUUCAGACUGAAGAACCAUUUCCUGGAAAGUACUUCCACAGAUUUAUUUCUAAGUCCAGACAGAACUCAGAUUACCUAAAGAUGCAUCUACAAAUGGCACUUCGCACUAAUGCCUCUGCAUCAGAGAUAUGCCACACCAGUGCCUUCUUCAUUGUAAGCAUCUGCUGCCACGGUUUGCUAUGGCUUAAAGGAUCUAUCUGUAAUUCAAAGCAGUUACAAGAACUUAUGCUCCAACCCCAAGGCCAAGGCACAUAGAGCCCAGUGAGAGCUGGAGAAAGUUGAGCUCCUCCGCUCCCCAUCAGCAUCCCAUGGCAGAGGUGGGAGAGUUCAGAGCAGGAACCACAGUGCUGAAUCACUACCCAGAAGUUGGAGAUACCAUCACACUCUCACAACACGGUGAUGUGAUUUCAAGCAAGGAGGAGAUACUGAGUCCUCCCUGUUAGUAUAGUUCCAUAUUUUAGAGAGAAAACCUGAGAAAUCCAUCUCCUUCAGCAACAGGAUGUAAGGGGCAGUGGGCAGUACAAGAAGGCACAUCCCUUUGGCAGGCCCUCCCUAUCUGUUCCAGGGCAGACCAUCAGCAAGCACCAGGAGUAGCACCAGUUGUGCUUGUUGGGUUACUCUUGCUUUUAAAAAAAGACAUUUUACAUAGGAGGCACCAGCACUGCAGAGCUGACACAGCAAUGCCAGCAGUCAGGAGGACACCCACAAAACCAGCAACCCUUCAGCAGUUUGCCUUAAGAGAGUUACACCCCAGUGAUCCUCUGGUCAUUAUGGUCAUCACAAAGUGGGAUUUCUCCAAUCCCCAACUGAGUCAUUGCCCAGGCAGCACAGCAAUGCUGCGGGCUGAAGAACCAAAGCCCCCAUUAUGGCCGGUAGGAACCAAUGCAACCAACUCCUCUACUGUGGGUCAGCAAUCAGCUGAGCAUCCAGCACUGCAGGGGGGUGAGCCUCAAAGGGAAUGGUCUCCAAGGGUUUUAGUCUUGACCUCAGCUCACAAGGAAGGAUAACAAAUGACCUAAGCUGAAUGCCUCUAUGCGUCCUCUGGACGGAGCAUGGCCAACAGCUGAGCUUGAAAGCACCCCAAGCCCUAUUCCAACCUGGCGGUACAUGGACAGCACAGUCCAGGUUUUACACUGGAAAUCAGAGCAACCAUUGGUGCCAAACUUCAAGUCGUAUUUCUCCUUGUAAAACGAUAUCAACACAUUCAAUUGGCAAAAUAUUAAACAAAAGGCUUCUAA